CAAUGGCCUUAAUUCGUUCACUGUUGAAAGUCGUUUCCUUUACUGGGCCCACAUUGAGGUUUAUUCAUCAUCUAACCUGUUCAUGGGGUCACACAGACAUGGAUAAAGGGAAAACACAAUUUUCAGCUUGAUCCAAAACUUUUAGGGGCCCCAAGAAGUUUUUAACGGUAGGCGUUCGAUUCCCACUGUUUCCUGUGGUGUGGUCCACUUGAGCUUUGAAUCUGCCUCGUUUUUGGGCUCAUGCCUAAAUUCAGCAGGCAUAACAAAUGGGCGGAGUGGAUAAGCCACAUGCAUCAUGGUGGGGCCCACAUUUAUUUUGCAAAAUUUUAAAUUUAACUGUUAAAAAAGUAAACUGUCACGUCUGCAUUGGGAUAAUUACCUAGGUAAAUUAUUGUUACCCAUUUACGAGAUAAUUAUAGUUGAGCCGAAAAAUCAAACAGGCCCUCGGAGAGCCGUCAACACGGCAUGCUUUUGACAAUCCUCCUCGGUUAAUUCACCCCCUUCUUCAUUGAUGUCUAAGAGGUAAUUCAGGCAUGUUUUCCACAAGGCAAUUCUGGUGCUUUAGAAAUUCCUUUUUCCAUUCAUUUAACUUUCCUUUGAGCAUCUUGAGCUUUUGGGACAGCUGAUAGCCUGCAGUUCUAAAAUGCUGAAGGACGACCACCAAUUUUUAAUGGGAUCCCGGAAUCCUUCGACUUUCCGCCACAUAAGUUCAAACUAGAAGGGUUUGGGUCCCCAACUAUCUUCUACACCAUCUAAUAAUAUGGGGUGAUGAUCUGAAGUGGGUCUCGGGAGACCGCAUAAUGAAACGAGUGGAAAUUUGUUGACCCAAUCUGAUGACAACAGAAAUCUGUCCAAGCUGGAUUGAAUCGGCUUAACUCUCCCACUGGUCCAGCUGGUGAUUCUGUCCCCAUUCGACUUCUCGUGAACAAGUCUAAUAACGUUGAAGCCGCUACCCAUGCACCGUGGAUGACUGAACUGAGCACUGAUUGAAUUCAGCUCGGCCCAAAAUUAUAAUGGCAUAGUUUAUUGAAGAGGGCUUCAUCAUUUGCUAUGGUAGCAGAAAUAUUGUAUAAAACAUGAUCGAGGUUGAGAUCUCGACCUCAAUUGAGAUUUAGAUCUAUCUCAUAGUUUCCUCGUAGUUGCGGAAAUAUUCUAUGAAGCAUCUGGAAGAACCUGAAAGAACAACUUGUGAGUGAUCAAUUGUUUGCUGGUAAAUGAACUCUCAUUACCAUAUUUUUGUCCAUUUGUACGUGCGGAAUUAUGAUAGAUCUUGCAGCAAAGGUCCUUCAAUCAACAAGUGCAUUCAUGUUUACUGGCGUAUUUUUGUCAGCAUGCACACUUUCAAAUAUAUGCUGUUGUCAAGUCUGCAUCUAGAUACCCUUGGUUUUCAUGUUUUCUUCUUUUGGUUAUGUGAACCUUGUUGUCUCAUGGUUCAGAAGACCAUUGUCCUGGAACAGGGCAUGCAAUCAUGGCAUCCUUUUAACCUCCAACCAUUGCAUGGAUAUUUUCUCCCAUUUGCGAAUGUUUUAUCAUCUCCAAAACCAAAUGGAUGUGUAGAAUAAAAUCAUAGAUGGAUAUGGUUCUAUGACAUGCAUUUACUUCUUAAAAUCACAAGGUUACAGAUAGUCAGAGGCGGAGGUCUAUCAGAGGGCUAAGUUGGAUGUAAUAGGGUGGGUUUCCUGUAUUAAGGAUUUUGACCAAAGUGAUUACUCAUUUUAGUCCGGGCUUCGGGUGAUGGUGCUAGAAUCCGCGCUUUGGGCUUCUCACGUAUGGAAAUCUAUAUCAGCUUUAAGAGGAAAGGUCAGGGAAGGUUUUUCUUUCUCCUUGGGCGAUGAUGCCAGACUCAGAUUCUGGAAGGACCCUUGGUGUGAGAUCAUCCUUUGCACCUAGACUUUCCUACCUUGGCCAGUCUAGCGACCUCUGAAGAGGUGAAAAUGGCGGAUUGUUUUUCUGUUAGCAGCUCGUCGACAUCUUGGAUGGCCCCAUGUAGGAGGAACCUUUUAGAUUGUGAGAUGGAAGCGCUUUUAUCUCUCAUCGCACACCUUCGGUGUCUCCCAUGGGCAGGGCCGAUUCUAUGCUGUGGGUCAAUCAAAACUCGGGGCAUUUCUCAAUUAGCUCUUUUUAUAGAAUGCUAUACUCGGAAAUGACAAGCUUAGAUGGGGCUCAUGCAUAUCAUUUCUGGUCUUAUGGUGCGCUGCCUAAGGUUGCUGCUUUCACUAGGUUGGUAGACAGAAAAGUGUUGAUGAUUGAUAUCCUUCAGAAGCAUGGCACGACUAUCCCAAACGUGUGUUGCUAGUUUGAAGAAGAUGCCAAAUUCAUCAAUCAUCUCUUCAUAUUCUGUCCGUUCACAUUCAAAGUGUAGAUGUACUUCACAGCUUUAUUCGACAUGCUGUGGGUUAUGUCGUGUUCAGCUAGAGACCUCCUUCGGGCAUGGCAUGGUGGAGGUGUGGCAAAGAAGGAUAGGGCUAUCUGACAACUAAUUUUGCCUGCUGUAUGUUGGGCUAUUCUGGGGCGAUCAGAGUAUAAAAUGCUUUCGGGAUUCUUCAGGAUUGAGUGAGACCUUGGUGGACUCCAUCAAAGCGUCUAUUUCUGAAUGGGCUGCUCUCUUGAAUCUUGAGCCUGAUUGUAUUGAGUCAAUCUUAGGGUUGUGAUCCCUUUGGGUUCCUUGUAUUAUUUUCCUGUCUUGCUUGCAAGCGGGGCCUUAAUAAAAUUUCUAUUAUCCCUAUAUA